GACGUAGGUGGCGAACGUUAUCCGGAAUCAUUGGGCGUAAAGGGUGCGUAGGCGGCAUGAUAAGUUAUUGGCGGGAAAUCGAGGCUCAACCUCGUGGAAACUGAUAAUACUGUCUUGCUUGAGUGCAGGAGAGGUUAACGGAAUUCUUUGUGGAGGGGUAAAAUCCAAAGAUAUAAAGGAGAACAUCAAUAACGGCGAAGGCAGUUAACUAUUCUGUUACUGACGUUGAGGCACGAAAGCGUGGGGAGCAAAACGG
rnacentral:rRNA from 1 species